rnacentral:rRNA from 1 species
CGCGUAGGCGGUUUUUUAAGUCAGAUGUGUAAUCCCUGAGCUUAACUUGGGAACUGCAUCUGAGACUGGAAGGCUAGAGUACUGGAGAGGGUGGUGGAAUUCCUCGUGUAGCGGUGAAAUGCGUAGAGAUGAGGAGGAACACCAGUGGCGAAGGCGGCCACCUGGACAGUAACUGACGCUGAGGCGCGAAAGUGUGGGUAGCAAACAGGAUUAGAUACCCUGGUAGUCCACGCUGUAAACGAUGAACACUUGGUGUGGAGGGAGUUGACCCCUUCCGUGCCGGAGCUAACGCGUUAAGUGUUCCGCCUGGGGAGUACGGUCGCAAGGCUGAA